AGUGAACGCUGGCGGUAGGCCUAACACAUGCAAGUCGAACGGCAGCACAGUAAGAGCUUGCUCUUACGGGUGGCGAGUGGCGGACGGGUGAGGAAUACAUCGGACUCUACUUUUUCGUGGGGGAUAACGUAGGGAAACUUACGCUAAUACCGCAUACGACCUACGGGUGAAAGCAGGGGAUCUUCGGACCUUGCGCGAUUGAAUGAGCCGAUGUCGGAUUAGCUAGUUGGCGGGGUAAGGGCCCACCAAGGCGACGAUCCGUAGCUGGUCUGAGAGGAUGAUCAGCCACACUGGAACUGAGACACGGUCCAGACUCCUACGGGAGGCAGCAGUGGGGAAUAUUGGACAAUGGGCGCAAGCCUGAUCCAGCCAUACCGCGUGGGUGAAGAAGGCCUUCGGGUUGUAAAGCCCUUUUGUUGGGAAAGAAAAGCAGCAGGUUAAUACCCCGCUGUUCUGACGGUACCCAAAGAAUAAGCACCGGCUAACUUCGUG
rnacentral:rRNA from 1 species